AACACAUGCGAGUCGAGGGCGAGCACGGUGUAGCAAUACACUGGUGGCGACCGGCGUACGGGUGCGUAACACGUAUGCAACCUACCCGCUAUUGGGGGAUAACCCGGCGAAAGUACGGACUAAUACCCCAUAUUAUUCUUACCGGGCAUCCGGUAGGUCUGAAAGAUUUAUCGAUUGCGGGUGGGCAUGCGGAUGAUUAGCUAGUAGGUGGGGUAACGGCUCACCUAGGCGACGAUCAUUAGGGGUUCUGAGAGGAAGGUCCCCCACACUGGAACUGAGACACGGUCCAGACUCCUACGGGAGGCAGCAGUGAGGAAUAUUGGUCAAUGGGCGCUAGCCUGAACCAGCCAAGUCGCGUGAAGGAUGAACCAGAUCUAUGGUUUGUAAACUUCUUUUGCAGGGGAGUAAAGUGCGACACGUGUGUUGUAUUGCAAGUACCCUGCGAAUAAGCAUCGGCUAACUCCGUGCCAGCCGCCGC
rnacentral:rRNA from 1 species